AAAUUGAAGAGUUUGAUCAUGGCUCAGAUUGAACGCUGGCGGCAGGCCUAACACAUGCAAGUCGAACGGUAACAGGAAGCAGCUUGCUGCUUUGCUGACGAGUGGCGGACGGGUGAGUAAUGUCUGGGAAACUGCCCGAUGGAGGGGGAUAACUACUGGAAACGGUGGCUAAUACCGCAUAACGUCGCAAGACCAAAGAGGGGGACCUUCGGGCCUCUUGCCAUCAGAUGUGCCCAGAUGGGAUUAGCUUGUUGGUGAGGUAACGGCUUACCAAGGCGACGAUCCCUAGCUGGUCUGAGAGGAUGACCAGCCACACUGGAACUGAGACACGGUCCAGACUCCUACGGGAGGCAGCAGUGGGGAAUAUUGCACAAUGGGCGCAAGCCUGAUGCAGCCAUGCCGCGUGUAUGAAGAAGGCCUUCGGGUUGUAAAGUACUUUCAGCGGGGAGGAAGGUGUUGUGGUUAAUAACCGCAGCAAU
rnacentral:rRNA from 1 species